rnacentral:tRNA from 1 species
UCCGAGAUAGCUCAGCUGGCAGAGCUCGCGAUUGUUAAUCGCGCGGUCGGUGGUUCGAUCCCACCUCUCGGAGC